UCUCUGGAGAUGAGGGUGGUCGCCUAUCCCUGAUGAGCCCCCAAAUGAAAGACCCCCAGCGUGGGGAGACCCUCACUCAAGUCUCGGGGUGACGCGACCCCCCAAGAACUCACACAAGACC
rnacentral:pre_miRNA from 14 species